UGCCGGUCCGAGGCCUCUUCCGUAUGCAGGGAGCACCGUGGGGGCGUGGUGGUCAGACCAUAGAUGGCAUGUUAGGCUGAGGUAGAGGCUGGGUGCUUUCAGGAGAGCCUGGAAUGGCGGACUACCGAGCAGAGGAGGCAUGGCCAAGGGCCUGCUUUAGAAAAUUCACUCUUGAAGCAGAGAUGAAGUAGGUAUUCUGAAGCAAGAAGCCCACCCAGGAAGCUGAGGCGAACUUCUGGCAGUCCAUGGCUUCAUUUCUUCAGCAAACAGGCACUGAGUGCCCUGUUCCCACAAGUUUACGGUGUUGGAGCCGAAGCAAGCAAAAAAAAAAAAAAAACUAAACUAAACUGUGAUAAACAGAAAAUGGCGUCAUGGUUCUGCCAUAACGUACGUAACAGGAGUCCCUGAAUUUGAGGGGUCCCAGCAACGUCACCGAGGAGGAAGCGCUUGAACUGAGACCUACGGACAAGGUUGUUUCGGGGGCCCCUUGACGGAUUCUUUGAUGAGCCCUUAUGAGUCAAAGCUGGGAGAGGCGUCCUCCCUGGUGGGGACCGGGAAAGAGGAAGAGGAGGCCAGGAAAUGUCAACAGCCUUUGAAUAUGGCAAAGAUUGAGACAAGAAAAUAAGAUUAACUGACCAAUCCAAGGUGCGGAACUGGCACGGGAGAGAAAGGAACCGCGCCUUCCUUGGUGAAGAACCGACAAGGACACGGGACUAGGAUAAGAACAGGAUAAUCCCGGGUUCACAGACUUUGUAAGUCAAGCAAAUUCCAGAUCUGCCUCCAAGCCCAUCCUGGAUACGUUUGCAAUUUAGGAUUUCAUUCUUGUGUGUAUUAUAAACAUCUUGUCUGCCAGACCUAAGAAACUCCCCCACUCCCCCACUGGUUGAUUUUUUCUCCGCAAGCCUGUAGAUAUCCUUCAUGGUAACUUGACAAGAGAGAGGUGCUC